UCUGGUUGAUCCUGCCAGUAGUUAUAUGCUUGUCUCAAAGAUUAAGCCAUGCAUGUCUAAGUACACACGAAUUAAAAGUGAAACCGCAAAAGGCUCAUUAUAUCAGUUAUGGUUCCUUAGAUCGUUAACAGUUACUUGGAUAACUGUGGUAAUUCUAGAGCUAAUACAUGCAAUUAAAACAUGAACCUUAUGGGACAUGUGCUUUUAUUAGGCUAAAACCAAGCGAUCGCAAGAUCGUUAUAUUGGUUGAACUCUAGAUAACAUGCAGAUCGUAUGGUCUUGUACCGACGACAGAUCUUUCAAAUGUCUGCCCUAUCAACUUUUGAUGGUAGUAUCUAGGACUACCAUGGUUGCAACGGGUAACGGGGAAUCAGGGUUCGAUUCCGGAGAGGGAGCCUGAGAAACGGCUACCACAUCUAAGGAAGGCAGCAGGCGCGUAAAUUACCCACUCCCAGCUCGGGGAGGUAGUGACGAAAAAUAACAAUACAGGACUCAUAUCCGAGGCCCUGUAAUUGGAAUGAGUACACUUUAAAUCCUUUAACAAGGACCAAUUGGAGGGCAAGUCUGGUGCCAGCAGCCGCGGUAAUUCCAGCUCCAAUAGCGUAUAUUAAAGUUGUUGCGGUUAAAACGUUCGUAGUUGAACUUGUGCUUCAUACGGGUAGUACAACUUACAAUUGUGGUUAGUACUAUACCUUUAUGUAUGUAAGCGUAUUACCGGUGGAGUUCUUAUAUGUGAUUAAAUACUUGUAUCUUUUCAUAUGUUCCUCCUAUUUAAAAACCUGCAUUAGUGCUCUUAAACGAGUGUUAUUGUGGGCCGGUACUAUUACUUUGAACAAAUUAGAGUGCUUAAAGCAGGCUUCAAAUGCCUGAAUAUUCUGUGCAUGGGAUAAUGAAAUAAGACCUCUGUUCUGCUUUCAUUGGUUUUCAGAUCAAGAGGUAAUGAUUAAUAGAAGCAGUUUGGGGCAUUAGUAUUACGACGCGAGAGGUGAAAUUCUUGGACCGUCGUAAGACUAACUUAAGCGAAAGCAUUUGCCAAAGAUGUUUUCAUUAAUCAAGAACGAAAGUUAGAGGUUCGAAGGCGAUCAGAUACCGCCCUAGUUCUAACCAUAAACGAUGCCAGCUAGCAAUUGGGUGUAGCUACUUUUAUGGCUCUCUCAGUCGCUUCCCGGGAAACCAAAGCUUUUGGGCUCCGGGGAAGUAUGGUUGCAAAGCUGAAACUUAAAGGAAUUGACGGAAGGGCACCACCAGGAGUGGAGCCUGCGGCUUAAUUUGACUCAACACGGGAAAACUUACCAGGUCCGAACAUAAGUGUGUAAGACAGAUUGAUAGCUCUUUCUCGAAUCUAUGGGUGGUGGUGCAUGGCCGUUCUUAGUUCGUGGAGUGAUUUGUCUGGUUAAUUCCGAUAACGAACGAGACUCAAAUAUAUUAAAUAGAUAUCUUCAGGAUUAUGGUGCUGAAGCUUAUGUAGCCUUCAUUCAUGUUGGCAGUAAAAUGCUUAUUGUGUUUGAAUGUGUUUAUGUAAGUGGAGCCGUACCUGUUGGUUUGUCCCAUUAUAAGGACACUAGCUUCUUAAAUGGACAAAUUGCGUCUAGCAAUAAUGAGAUUGAGCAAUAACAGGGUCUGUGAUGCCCUUAGAUGUCCUGGGCUGCACGCGCGCUACAAUGAAAGUAUCAACGUGUAUUUCCUAGACCGAGAGGUCCGGGUAAACCGCUGAACCACUUUCAUGCUUGGGAUUGUGAACUGAAACUGUUCACAUGAACUUGGAAUUCCCAGUAAGUGUGAGUCAUUAACUCGCAUUGAUUACGUCCCUGCCCUUUGUACACACCGCCCGUCGCUACUACCGAUUGAAUUAUUUAGUGAGGUCUCCGGACGUGAUCACUGUGACGCCUUGCGUGUUACGGUUGUUUCGCAAAAGUUGACCGAACUUGAUUAUUUAGAGGAAGUAAAAGUCGUAACAAGGUUUC
rnacentral:rRNA from 1 species